GUCCCCAUCGUCUAGAGGCCUAGGACACCGCCCUUUCACGGCGGCAACAGGGGUUCGAAUCCCCUUGGGGAUGCCA
rnacentral:tRNA from 1 species